AAUGAACGCUGGCGGCAUGCCUUACACAUGCAAGUCGAACGGCAGCAUGACCUAGCUUGCUAGGUUGAUGGCGAGUGGCGAACGGGUGAGUAAUGCAUCGGAACGUGCCUCUUAGUGGGGGAUAACGUAGCGCAAGUUACGCUAAUACCGCAUAUUCUCUGAGGAGGAAAGCAGGUGACCUUCGGGCCUUGCGCUAGAAGAGCGGCCGAUGUCGGAUUAGCUAGUUGGUGAGGUAAAGGCUCACCAAGGCAACGAUCCGUAGCGGGUCUGAGAGGAUGAUCCGCCACACUGGAACUGAGACAAGGCCCAGACUCCUACGGGAGGCAGCAGUGGGGAAUUUUGGACAAUGGGCGCAAGCCUGAUCCAGCCAUGCCGCGUGAGUGAAGAUGGCCUUCGGGUUAUAAAGCUCUUUCGGCUGGGAAGAAAUCGCACCCUCUAAGACAGAGUGUGGAUGACGGUACCAGCAUAAGAAGCACCGGCUAACUACGUG
rnacentral:rRNA from 1 species